GCCGCUGUAGCUCAACGGUAGAGCAACUGAUUUGUAAUCAGUAGGUUGGAGGUUCAAAUCCUCUCGGCGGCU
rnacentral:tRNA from 1 species